UAUGAAACAUUUCUGGGAUCUUUUAUUUCAGCUCAUGAAACAUGGGGACCAAGACUUUACAUGUUGUGUUUCAUAUUUCUGUUCGGUGUCGAUACACUGGAAACCUGGACAACUGUAAUAAAACAGGCCAUCGUGACGUCCUCUGUAACUGUUUUCACAGAUCUCAGAGAAGUACGCAGUACCUCGUGAAAAGACCAACAUUUACCAGAACAACAGAGGGAUCCUGGUGAACAUGAAUGACAAUAUCAUAGAGCACUAUUCCAACGAGGACACCUUCAUCCUGGCCAUCGAGAGGUCAGCGGACUGCUUCCGGGUCACGCUGGCAGAGAUCUGACCCUUUGUGAGGGAGUAAAGGGGCCUCCAUCUCAAACCUCACUGGACGGCAGCCACACCUCAGAGUCCAUAGCUCAGAGCCAAUGCUGGACGCCAAGGCUCUCACUCCAGAAGGUGGAUUUACUGCGUCGUUCUCAGUCGUGAUCGGAUCAACCAAAAAGAACCCUGUGGAAUAGCUCCCCCUGCAGGUGGAGAUUGGGACUCCAGGAGAGUGGGACAUCAGGGCUCUGAUCUGCCUCUUUCUCUCUCCAGCAUGGUUCCAUUAGUUUCCUCCCAGUUAGAGCCUUCUGAACAUGAUCCUGAUCACAACCUCCAUCUCGCCUGCUAUCUCUGUGACUGAGAGGAAAUUACAUCUCUGUGACUGAGAGGRAAUWACAUCUCUGUGACUGAGAGGGAAUAACACUGGACAACAUGCUGAGUCCCUAAUGGAACAGAGCCCAUUCAAGCUGAGGCUUCAAAGCCCUGCUGCUUUUAAAGUUCAGUCCACAACUGUAGCAGCACUAAACAAUAAAGAUUCAUAUUGUUUUA